rnacentral:rRNA from 1 species
UACAGAGGGGGCAAGCGUUGUCCGGAAUUAUUGGGCGUAAAGGGCGCGUAGGCGGCUUUCUAAGUCAGAUGUGAAAUCCCCCGGCUUAACCUGGGAACUGCGUCUGAUACUGGAGGGCUUGAGUGCGGGAGAGGGAUGUGGAAUUCCAGGUGUAGCGGUGAAAUGCGUAGAUAUCUGGAGGAACACCGGUGGCGAAGGCGGCAUCCUGGACCGACACUGACGCUGAGGCGCGAAAGCUAGGGUAGCAAACGGG